CAGUAGCCACGGGAAUACGAAGGGUGCAAGCGUUACUCGGAAUUACUGGGCGUAAAGCGUGCGUAGGUGGUUGUUUAAGUCUGCUGUGAAAGCCCUGGGCUCAACCUGGGAAUUGCAGUGGAUACUGGGCGACUAGAGUAAGGUAGAGGAUAGUGGAAUUUCCGGUGUAGCAGUGAAAUGCGUAGAUAUGUGGAGGAACACCGAUGGCGAAGGCAGCCUCCUGGGCCAAUACUGACGCUUAUGCACGAAAGCGUGGGGAGCAAACAGGAUUAGAUACCCCAGUAGUCCCUGUCUCUUAUAC
rnacentral:rRNA from 1 species